rnacentral:rRNA from 1 species
GGAUGAGCCCGCGGCCUAUCAGCUUGUUGGUGAGGUUACGGCUCACCAAGGCGACGACGGGUAGCCGGCCUGAGAGGGUGACCGGCCACACUGGGACUGAGAUACGGCCCAGACUCCUACGGGAGGCAGCAGUGGGGAAUAUUGCACAAUGGGCGCAAGCCUGAUGCAGCGACGCCGCGUGAGGGAUGACGGCCUUCGGGUUGUAAACCUCUUUCGCCAGGGACGAAGCGCGAGUGACGGUACCUGGAGAAGAAGCACCGGCCAACUACGUGACAGCAGCCGCGGCCG